ACACACACUAUCUUGGCUUCUUCGUUUCUUGGACGUCUUGGCUUUUUUUGGUCGACCCACAUUAGCUUAUUUUAUAUACACGAUAAGAGACAUACAUUUUCAUUCGCCAGGCCUGAUCUUAUAUAUUUAUGUAUAGCCGUAUAGGGAUAUUUGUAUGCAUGCGUAUUCAAGUGCUUCUUCUUUUCCGAUCUGAAUUGGUCCUUCUCUUUUCAUAUU